ACACGUAGGGGACAAGCGUUGUCCGGAUUUAUUGGGCGUAAAGAGCUCGUAGGUGGUUCCGUAAGUCGGAUGUGAAAACUCAAGGCUCAACCUUGAGACGCCAUCCGAUACUGCGGUGACUUGAGUUCGGUAGAGGAGUGUGGAAUUCCUGGUGUAGCGGUGAAAUGCGCAGAUAUCAGGAGGAACACCGACAGCGAAGGCAGCACUCUGGGCCGAUACUGACACUGAGGAGCGAAAGCGUGGGGAGCAAACAGGAUUAGAUACCCGGGUAGUCC
rnacentral:rRNA from 1 species